rnacentral:rRNA from 1 species
GGAAUAUUGGACAAUGGGGGCAACCCUGAUCCAGCAAUGCCGCGUGAGUGAUGAAGGCCUUCGGGUUGUAAAGCUCUUUUGGCGGGGACGAUGAUGAGGGUACCCGCAGCAUAAGCCCCGGCUAACUUCGUGCCCGCAGCCGCGGUAAUACGAAGGGGGCUAGCGUUGUUCGGAAUUACUGGGCGUAAAGGGCGCGUAGGCGGUCCUGAUCGUCGGAUGUGAAAGGCCUGGGCUCAACCUGGGAACUGCAUCCGAUACGGCGGGACUGGAGUGUGGGAGAGGUUGGUGGAAUUCCCAGUGUAGAGGUGAAAUUCGUAGAUAUUGGGAAGAACACCGGUGGCGAAGGCGGCCAACUGGACCACAACUGACGCUGAGGCGCGACAGCGUGGGGAGCAA